GAUGAACGCUGGCGGCGUGCCUAAUACAUGCAAGUCGAGCGAACGGACGAGAAGCUUGCUUCUCUGAGGUUAGCGGCGGACGGGUGAGUAACACGUGGAUAACCUACCUAUAAGACUGGGAUAACUUCGGGAAACCGGAGCUAAUACCGGAUCAUAUUUUGAACCGCAUGGUUCAAAAGUGAAAGACGGCCUUGCUGUCACAUAUAGAUGGAUCCGCGCUGCAUUAGCUAGUUGGUAAGGUAACGGCCUACCAAGGCAACGAUGCAUAGCCGACCUGAGAGGGUGAUCGGCCACACUGGAACUGAGACACGGUCCAGACUCCUACGGGAGGCAGCAGUAGGGAAUCUUCCGCAAUGGGCGAAAGCCUGACGGAGCAACGCCGCGUGAGUGAUGAAGGUCUUCGGAUCGUAAAGCUCUGUUAUUAGGGAAGAACAUAUGUGUAAGUAACUGUGCACAUCUUGACGGUACCUAAUCAGAAAGCCACGGCUAACUACGUG
rnacentral:rRNA from 1 species